AUGUGCACAUUCCAUGUCAGUGAGCCAUUGGGCAGAUCCCGUGUGACCUGCUUUUCUUAUAAUAAUUUCUCCCAGUACGAGGCCAGAACAACCCCUUUUUCUGUGUUGCCUGACUUUGAGUUUCCCUCGUUUAGAGAAAAGCCAAACUCUCUCAUGGUGAUGCACUUAAUUAUGCUUCGUGUGACUCCUGCGUACCUUCCCCUAGAACAAGUGAGAAUGUGCUACGAUGAAUUAUUGUCACCGGUUUCCAGGAAAGAAGACAGAGGCGCAGCGAUAUUCAACUGGCCCAAGGUCAGCUGGGAAAUGGUGAAGGAGGCGUUUGAACAGGUCUGAAGGAUCCCCCGUAUCACCAGGCCUCCUGGGGGGACAGGACGUAUGAUCUAAUGAGGUAUAAAAAUGGUUUCUCCAAAUGCCCAGAGGCGGUUGGUAAGAAACUCUAGGGCUCUUGGUCGACUGUCCACUGAGUCCAUACACCGAACCUGCCAAUAUUUAAAACAUCAAACGAAUGAGUAUAAACCUCAGUAAGCAUUGCAUUUGUCAUAAGGAGUAACUUGCGUUUUGUUUUGUGUGUCUAUGUUUUGGGAAGCUCUGGGAGAGUAUUUUCCUGAGUCACUGUUGUUAGAUAUACUCACGUCCCCCAGUCAGAGCACAAACUGUGCCUGGAAAGUGUAGUUCUUGUCUUGGUGUUAUCUUAGCCAGUCCUCAUUUAUUAUCUUAAUUAGUCCUGCUUUGGAGUGGCCAAUCCUAUAUCCAUUAAGCUUUCGAUAAAAGUAGUCAGCGGGGUUGGUGCCAGUCUCACUCUUCAGAAUCUGAUUAAGUUUCAAACUUAUACGUGAAUUCUUUUGUGUGCGCUGCGUUAAGGAAGGUUGACUUCGAGUAAAAAACUUCCCAGGCUUCCGGAAGUUUGUCUUCUCAGAGAGGUUAGUGUUGUGAAGGACCCUGGACUCAGGCUCCAUCCUAGAGCACCCAAAACUCAGCACCCACAACGCAUGCAGGGGAGGGCUCCCCUCUCCCCACCUGGCCCCUACCUCCCCCAGCUCAGAAGCAGCCUCCUCUUCCGAGCUGCUGGAGCACAGUUGACACCUACGAAAUGCAUUUUCACCUCUGUUGCUCAUUUUCUCUUUUGUAAAAAGUAGAUCCAGAGCCAGAAAUCAGGCCUGGUGAGCCUGCAGCCUGUCGGAUUUGGGAUGGGCCCCUGUCCCACAGCCCUGGCCUGCCAAAGCACCCUGGAGAGUUCUGUCCUCAGCAACUGCCAAGUGUCAUCACAAAAAAAAAAAAAAAAAAAAAGGCAAAAAAGGAUAGUAAAGGUGGUCAGGCGAUUUAUUCGCCACUC
rnacentral:lncRNA from 1 species